GAUGAACGCUGGCGGCGUGCCUAAUACAUGCGAGUCGAGCGAACAGAUGAGGAGCUUGCUCCUCUGACGUUAGCGGCGGACGGGUGAGUAACACGUGGAUAACCUACCUAUAAGACUGGGAUAACUUCGGGAAACCGGAGCUAAUACCGGAUAAUAUAUUGAACCGCAUGGUUCAAUAGUGAAAGACGGUUUUGCUGUCACUUAUAGAUGGAUCCGCGCCGCAUUAGCUAGUUGGUAAGGUAACGGCUUACCAAGGCAACGAUGCGUAGCCGACCUGAGAGGGUGAUCGGCCACACUGGAACUGAGACGCGGUCCAGACUCCUACGGGAGGCAGCAGUAGGGAAUCUUCCGCAAUGGGCGAAAGCCUGACGGAGCAACGCCGCGUGAGUGAUGAAGGUCUUCGGAUCGUAAAACUCUGUUAUUAGGGAAGAACAAAUGUGUAGGUAACUAUGCACGUCUUGACGGUACCUAAUCAGAAAGCCACGGCUAACUACGUG
rnacentral:rRNA from 1 species